UACAGAGGUCUCAAGCGUUGUUCGGAUUCAUUGGGCGUAAAGGGUGCGUAGGCGGCGUGGUAAGUCGGAUGUGAAAUCUCGGAGCUUAACUCCGAAACUGCAUUCGAUACUGCCGGUGCUUGAGGACUGGAGAGGAGACUGGAAUUUACGGUGUAGCGGUGAAAUGCGUAGAUAUCGUAAGGAAGACCAGUGGCGAAGGCGGGUCUCUGGACAGUUCCUGACGCUGAG
rnacentral:rRNA from 1 species